ACAUCUAAUCCCAAUAUAUAAAACAUCAAAAGCAUGGGAUUACGAGUUCUACUAAAGUAAAGAAAUACAGAAAAGAAACUAGGUAAAUGAUCAGAUGAUGGUGGGAGGAUCAUGUGGAGACGAUGGCUCGGCUGUAGAGGUCGGAAUGCUUGGGAUGGAUGCCUCUAUCUAUCCUAUAGUCGUCUCCUCUAGGGGCAUAGUUUGCUCUGCUAGAGGAGGGCCCU
rnacentral:lncRNA from 1 species